CUCGGGGAGGGGGGGUGUCCCUCAGCCUGAUUGCAAGAAGGCGCAGGCCAGGCUGAGGGACCCCACUGGUGCAUG
rnacentral:pre_miRNA from 1 species